rfam:Coniochaeta ligniaria NRRL 30616 unplaced genomic scaffold CONLIGscaffold_3, whole genome shotgun sequence.
GGUUGUAUGGUGUAGAGGUUAGCACUGUGGAUUCUGACUCGCUCAAGUUGGAACUUCCACCGACCCCGGUUCGAGUCCGGGUACGACCU